rnacentral:lncRNA from 1 species
CCUGCCUCAGCCUCCCGAGUAGCUGGGACUACAGGCGCCCGCGACUACGCCCGGCUAAUUUUUUGUAUUUUUAGUAGAGACGGGGUUUCACCGUGUUAGCCAGGAUGGUCUUCGUCUCCUGACCUCGUGAUCCGCCCGCCUCGGUCCCCUAAAGUGCUGGGAUUACAGGCAUACACUCUUAAGUAACCUGGUGGGGACCCAUCAAACUACAAAGGGUUAUAGCUACUCUUACAGAAGACAUAAGAAGAUAUAUACGCAGAGAAGACAUCAUAAGACCUGAAGAUGAAAAACUUCUGAUCACAGAAGAAAGAUAUACAACAGCCUUGAAGCAUUCUGAGAACCCAGUGAAGGCAAUAAUGUCUCUUCCCAGAGAAAUUCACAGAUUGCUUUCUCAUUGUUGGACAUUUAUGGUCAUGACCCCAGCUUUUCUCUUCCUUGUGCAAGAAAGAUGACAUGUUUUCUACUGCCGCUUCAGCCACCUACAAAAUGUCAUGACUAGGGCCCACCCUCAAGCUAAAUCUACAAAGGUUUUCUUCUGCCAUCUGUGACAGCUUCUUGAUCUGUCCCCAGAUGGGUGGCUGUGCUCGUGACAGUUGGAGUCCUCCUCAGCAUCAGUCUCAACAUGGCUGCAACUGGGGGGUUCUCAGGAUCCUCCCGGAGUCUAUUCCUCAGCAUCUGGCUCACGAUAAGGUUUCAGGUGUCUUGAUGGUAUCCAAAUAGGCUAUUGAUAUUGGCCUGGAGAAACACAAGCAUAACCUCUCCCCCAAGUUAUUAUUUUACCUAUUUCCCAACUUCGUGUUAUCGGAUCUCUCCACCAAAUCAGUUGUUCUGUUUUUGUCCUUGCAGCUGGUUUCUGUAGAUGCUGUUCAGCUGCUGAUAACAUGUGGCCUUUGGGCAGGCUCAAAAAAUUUACUGUUAAUAAUGCUAGGUUCAGUUGCAUCUGUGGGGUUCCAUAUUCUCUGUCUCCCCCUUUCUGCUUUUGCAACUGCUAUUUUAGGGAGAGAUUCAUUCUUUCCACUAUGGCUUGUACUUGAGAAUUGUAUGGGAUACCGGUGAUGUGUUUAAUAUUCCACAUAUAGAAAAAUGUAGCCAGAGCUUGGCUAGUAUAGCCUGGGGCAUUAUCUGUUUUAAUAGAAGCUGGAAUGCCCAUCACCACAAAACACUGCAAAAGAUGAUGUUUAACACAGGCAGAAGACUCUCCUGAUUGGCAUGUAGCCCAGACAAAGUGAGAAAAGGUGUCCACACAUACAUGUACAUAAGCUAGUCUCCCAAAUGAGGGAACAUGUGUGACAUCCAUUUGCCAAAGAGAGUUAGUUUCCAAUCCUCAAGGAUUAACUCCUGUAAAAGAUGAGGAAUGUACCAUUUGGCAAGUUGGGCAUUGCUUGAUAAUAGCUUUAGCUUCUUUCCAGGUAACGCUGUAUCUGCGUUUGAGACCAGACGCAUUAACAUGGGUUAAAUUCUGAAAGUGUCUAGCAUUAGAUAUUGCAUUAGCAACUAGGCGAUUGCCAUUUGAUUUCCUUCAGUCAAAGGUCCUGGAAGAGGUGUAUGAGCCCUAAUCUAAGUGAUGUAAAAAGGGUGCAUUCUACUCCUAACUGCUGUUUGCAAUUGGGUAAAUAAAGUCAUCAGUUAUUCAUUGGUAUGAAAUUGUAACUGAGCAUUUUCAAUUAACUGUGUGGAAUGAACCAGGUAUGCA